UCUCCGUUGGUGAACCGCGGAAG
rnacentral:rRNA from 1 species